rnacentral:lncRNA from 1 species
CCUCCUUCUGCACCACCCUGACCCCAGCAUUUUUGAGAAUUGGCAGGGCAGAGCAACCUAGUGCUAGAAAAACCACAGGCUAACAGCUCACGGCUCCUGCCUCCACAUGCCGGCUGCCAGCUGGUGUGGGGUGCUGGGGCCAGUCCCUCCCCAGGCCGGGGCUGCAGUUUCCCUCUUCAGAUCCUAAGAUGCUGGAACAGACACUCUCUGAGCCCCUCCCUGCUCCAGCAUGAGGCACGCGCACACCUUCCGUCUUGCUUUCUGCAAAGGUGGCUGGAGGCAGAGUUCAGCUGCCAUUUGCAAGGCUACCCCCAGCCUUCGUGUCUUUGGGGGUCGGUUUCUAAUAACACAAGCACACACAGCACAUUCUGGGGUGAGUCAAAUGUGAAUUCCCCGUGACCCUCCCUCAGGCCCUGCCUCCCUCCCCCAAAGGGGACUGCCCCCAUCAGUGCAGGGACCACCCUUGUGGCUCUUUGAAGGGCAUCCACUUUCGUGGACACUGCAGAUGCAGAAAGAGUUCCGCAUCGGGGCGCCUGGGUGGCUCAGUCCGUUUCGGCUCAGGUCAUGAUCUCACAGUUCGUGAGUUCGAGCCCCGUCUCGGGCUCUGUGCUGACAGCUCAGAGCCUGGAGCCUGCUUCGGAUUCUGUGCCUCCCUCUCUCUCUCUGCCCCUCCCCUGCUCACGCUCUGUCUCUCUCUGUCUCUCAAUAACAAAUAAACGUUAAAAAAAAAAUUUAAAAAAAAAAAGAAAGUUCUGCAGGGAUUGGCAGUUUGUUUUUUAAUAUAAAUGGGACUCUACUGCUCGAGUCGCGCUGCAACCUGCUCUUUUCUCUUCGCGGCUGUCUGGGGCAGAUGUCCAUGUCUGAAUGGAGAGAUCACCCCCCCAGUUUGCUGCACUGCUCUAGAAUAUGCCAUAGUAUGCACGCUCUGGAGUUCACCUGCCCGUUCUCCUCACUGUCAAACACCUUCUAGGUUUCUAAUCUUCCAUUAUUCCACACAAGGCUGCCACAGGCUUGUGCUCAGCGCUCCCUGGGCUUGCGAGGCUGCGGGACACGCCGUUUCUGCGCAAGGUCGUUGGGAGCCGCUCUCAAGGCCACUCGAGUUCAGAUCCCCAGUGCAGUUCCCAGCUGUGUGGCCCGGGACGACUCACUGGCCCUCUCUGAGAACUCCCGGAGGAGCAGGGGGUGGCUCAGGCCGCCCUCUUCGGGUACGAUGCACCUGGCUCUCACAAGUUCUCGGAGCUACACAGAACCUGCUAAACAUGGGAAGGAAACCCACCAAAACCUCGACGGAGCCAGCCACACCCUCUGUCCAUCUGUGA